GGUGUAUUAUCAGUCAGGUGUGUUAAUAUAAUGGUGUAUUAUAGGUCAGGUGUGUUAAUAUAAUGGUGUGUUAAUAUAAUGUUUUGUAGGUCAGGUGUGUUAAUAUAAUGGUGUAUUGUAGGUCAGGUGUGUUAAUAUAAUGGUGUAUUAUCAGUCAGAUGUGUUAAUAUAAUGUUGUAUUGUAAGUCAGGUGUGUUAAUAUAAUGGUGUAUUGUAGGUCAGGUGUGUUAAUAUAAUGGUGUAUUAUCAGUCAGAUGUGUUAAUAUAAUGUUGUAUUGUAAGUCAGGUGUGUUGAUAUAAUGGUGUAUUGUAGGUCAGGUGUGUUAAUGGUGUAUUAUCAGUCAGGUGUGUUAAUAUAAUGGUGUAUUAUAGGUCAGGUGUGUUAAUAUAAUGGUGUAUUAUAGGUCAGGUGUGUUAAUAUAAUGGUGUAUUAUAGGUCAGGUGUGUUAAUAUAAUGGUGUGUUAAUAUAAUGGUGUAAUAUAGGUCAGGUGUGUUAAUAUAAUGGUGUAUUAUCAGUCAGAUGUGUUAAUAUAAUGGUGUAUUAUAGGUCAGGUGUGUUAAUAUAAUGGUGUGUUAAUAAAAUGGUGUAUUAUAGGUCAGGUGUGUUAAUAUAAUGGUGUAUUAUAGGUCAGGUGUGUUAAUAUAAUGGUGUGUUAAUAAAAUGGUGUAUUAUAGGUCAGGUGUGUUAAUAUAAUGGUGUAUUAUAGGUCAGGUGUGUAAAUAUAAUGGUGUAUUCUAGGUCAGGUGUGUAUUAUAGGUCAGGUGUGUUAAUAUUAUUGUGUAUUCUAGGUCAGGUGUGUAAAUAUAAUGGUGUAUUAUAGGUCAGGUGUAUUAAUAUUAUUGUGUAUUAUAGGUCAGGUGUGUUAAUAUAAUGGUGUGUUAAUAUAAUGGUGUAAUAUAGGUCAGGUGUGUUAAUAUAAUGGUGUAUUAUAGGUCAGGUGUGUUAAUAUAAUGGUGUGUUAAUAUAAUGUUUUGUAGGUCAGGUGUGUUAAUAUAAUGGUGUAUUGUAGGUCAGGUGUGUUAAUAUAAUGGUGUAUUAUCAGUCAGGUGUGUUAAUAUAAUGGUGUAUUAUCAGUCAGGUGUGUUAAUAUAAUGGUGUAUUAUAGGUCAGGUGUGUUAAUAUAAUGGUGUAUUAUAGGUCAGGUGUGUUAAUAUAAUGGUGUGUUAAUAUAAUGUUUUGUAGGUCAGGUGUGUUAAUAUAAUGGUGUAUUGUAGGUCAGGUGUGUUAAUAUAAUGGUGUAUUAUCAGUCAGAUGUGUUAAUAUAAUGUUGUAUUGUAAGUCAGGUGUGUUAAUAUAAUGGUGUAUUGUAGGUCAGGUGUGUUAAUAUAAUGGUGUAUUAUCAGUCAGAUGUGUUAAUAUAAUGUUGUAUUGUAAGUCAGGUGUGUUGAUAUAAUGGUGUAUUGUAGGUCAGGUGUGUUAAUGGUGUAUUAUCAGUCAGGUGUGUUAAUAUAAUGGUGUAUUAUAGGUCAGGUGUGUUAAUAUAAUGGUGUAUUAUAGGUCAGGUGUGUUAAUAUAAUGGUGUAUUAUAGGUCAGGUGUGUUAAUAUAAUGGUGUGUUAAUAUAAUGUUUUGUAGGUCAGGUGUGUUAAUAUAAUGGUGUAUUAUAGGUCAGGUGUGUUAAUAUAAUGGUGUAUUAUAGGUCAGGUGUGUUAAUAUAAUGGUGUGUUAAUAUAAUGGUGUAAUAUAGGUCAGGUGUGUUAAUAUAAUGGUGUAUUAUAGGUCAGGUGUGUUAAUAUAAUGGUGUAUUAUAGGUCAGGUGUGUUAAUAUAAUGGUGUGUUAAUAUAAUGGUGUAAUAUAGGUCAGGUGUGUUAAUAUAAUGGUGUAUUAUCAGUCAGAUGUGUUAAUAUAAUGGUGUAUUAUAGGUCAGGUGUGUUAAUAUAAUGGUGUGUUAAUAAAAUGGUGUAUUAUAGGUCAGGUGUGUUAAUAUAAUGGUGUAUUCUAGGUCAGGUGUGUUAUAGGUCAGGUGUGUUAAUAUUAUUGUGUAU